rnacentral:rRNA from 1 species
ACCAACAGGGAUUGCCCUAGUAACGGCGAGUGAAGCGGCAACAGCUCAAAUUUGAAAUCUGGCUCUUUCAGAGUCCGAGUUGUAAUUUGCAGAGGGCGCUUUGGCUUUGGCAGCGGUCCAAGUUCCUUGGAACAGGACGUCACAGAGGGUGAGAAUCCCGUACGUGGUCGCUAGCUAUUGCCGUGUAAAGCCCCUUCGACGAGUCGAGUUGUUUGGGAAUGCAGCUCUAAAUGGGAGGUAAAUUUCUUCUAAAGCUAAAUAUUGGCCAGAGACCGAUAGCGCACAAGUAGAGUGAUCGAAAGAUGAAAAGCACUUUGGAAAGAGAGUCAAACAGCACGUGAAAUUGUUGAAAGGGAAGCGCUUGCAGCCAGACUUGCUUGCAGUUGCUCAUCCGGGCUUUUGCCCGGUGCACUCUUCUGUAGGCAGGCCAGCAUCAGUUUGGGCGGUGGGAUAAAGGUCUCUGUCACGUACCUCUCUUCGGGGAGGCCUUAUAGGGGAGACGACAUACCACCAGCCUAGACUGAGGUCCGCGCAUCUGCUAGGAUGCUGGCGUAAUGGCUGUAAGCGGCCCGUCUUGAAACACGGACCAAGGAGUCUAACAUCUAUGCGAGUGUUUGGGUGUCAAGCCCGAGCGCGUAAUGAAAGUGAACGGAGGUGGGAACCCGCAAGGGUGCACCAUCGACCGAUCCUGAAGUUUACGGAAGGAUUUGAGUAAGAGCAUGGCUGUUGGGACCCGAAAGAUGGUGAACUAUGCUUGAAUAGGGUGAAGCCAGAGGAAACUCUGGUGGAGGCUCGCAGCGGUUCUGACGUGCAAAUCGAUCGUCAAAUUUGGGCAUAGGGGCGAAAGACUAAUCGAACUAUCUAGUAGCUGGUUCCUGCG